rnacentral:rRNA from 1 species
AUUGAACGCUGGCGGCAUGCCUUACACAUGCAAGUCGAACGGCAGCACGGGUGCUUGCACCUGGUGGCGAGUGGCGAACGGGUGAGUAAUACAUCGGAACAUGUCCUGUAGUGGGGGAUAGCCCGGCGAAAGCCGGAUUAAUACCGCAUACGAUCCACGGAUGAAAGCGGGGGACCUUCGGGCCUCGCGCUAUAGGGUUGGCCGAUGGCUGAUUAGCUAGUUGAUGGGGUAAAGGCCUACCAAGGCGACGAUCAGUAGCUGGUCUGAGAGGACGACCAGCCACACUGGGACUGAGACACGGCCCAGACUCCUACGGGAGGCAGCAGUGGGGAAUUUUGGACAAUGGGCGAAAGCCUGAUCCAGCAAUGCCGCGUGUGUGAAGAAGGCCUUCGGGUUGUAAAGCACUUUUGUCCGGAAAGAAAUCCUUGGCUCUAAUACAGUCGGGGGAUGACGGUACCGGAAGAAUAAGCACCGGCUAACUACAUG